rnacentral:rRNA from 1 species
GGUAUCGCCGUUAGUCAUGUGCAAAUAUGGAUAGCUGUUUUAGCCGUCUUUAUUGACUGGUUUAUAAGAGUUAUCAGAUAUCACUUUGAUUAAAUUAGAGUGCUUAAAGCAAGUGUGUUACUUGGAUAUAAAUGCAUGGAAUGAUGGAAUAUGUUGUUAUUCUAUUUGUUGGUUUUUGAAUGAUAAAAUGAUUGAAAGGAACCGUUGGGGGCAUUCGUAUUGUUGUGAGAGAGGUGAAAUUCUUAGACCACAGCAAGACGAACUACUGCGAAAGCAUUUGCCAAGAAUGUUUUCAUUGAUCAAGAACGAAAGUUAGAGGUUCGAAGGCGAUCAGAUACCGCCCUAGUUCUAACCAUAAACUAUGCCAACUAGCAAUUUGCUUUGUAUUUUUUAUGACUAAGUGAGAGGCCACGGGAAACCUAAGUAGGGUUAUGGGGGAAGUAUGGUUGCAAAGCUGAAACUUAAAGGAAUUGACGGAAGGGCACCACCAGGAGUGGAGCCUGCGGCUUAAUUUGACUCAACACGGGAAAACUUACCUGGUCCUGACACUAGAAGGAUUGACAGAUUGAUAGCUCUUUCUUGAUUUGGUGGAUGGUGGUGCAUGGCCGUUCUUAGUUGGUGGAGUGAUUUGUCUGGUUAAUUCCGAUAACGAACGAGACUCUAGCCUAUUAAAUAAUACACGGAAUUUUAUCUUCCGCGGUAUUUCUUAGUGGGAUCAAGCG